UUUUUUUCUUUAUUGCUACAAUUUGCAAUUUAAUUACAAUCUCUUGAUGUGGACCAGCUUUUGUUAACUUUUGGGGAAGGUUCUCCAUAUGUUCUGGAUCUAGAUAUUUGUUUCCUUCCCUAGAUUAGGGAAGUUUUCAGUUAUUUCUUCAAAUACAUUUUCUUCCCUUUUUUCUCUCCUUUUCCGAGAUCUCUAUAAUACAGAUGUUAUUACAUUUGAUGACAUCACUGAUUUCCCUGUCUAUUCUUGUUUUGCAUAAUUCUUUUUCUCUUCUUUGUUCAGUCUGAUUACUUUCCAUUACUCUGUCUUCUAGGUCAUUAAUUCAUUCCUCUGCUUUUUCAAGCCUGCUAUUCAUUCCAUCUAGCAUAUUUCUCAUUUUGUUUAUUGAACUCUUUAUCUCUGCUACGUUACUCCUUAUCUCUGUGUUAAGGUCUCACUGAUGUCUUCCAUUCUUUGCUGAGUAUCUUUAUGAUCAUUACUUUUUUAAAAGAUUUUAUUAAUUCAUGAGAGACAGAGAGAGAGAGAGGCAGAGACACAGGAAGAGGGAGAAGCAGGCUCCAUGCAGGGAGCCCGAUGUGGGACUCAAUCCUGGGACUCCAGGAUCUGCCCUGGGCCAAAGGCAGGCGCUAAACCGCUGUGCCCCCCGGGGCUGCCCUGAUCAUUACUUUAAAUUCUCUAUCAGGCAUGUUAUUAAUACCUGUUUCUCUUAGAUCACUGGCCAUGGCCUUGUCCUGUUCUUUCAUUUGGGACAAAUUCCUCUGUCUCCCCAUUUUGUUUAAAUUUCUGUGCUGUUUCUCUGCUAGGAAAUUUGGCUAUGUCUCUUGUUUUUGAGGGUAAUGACUUUAGGAAAAGAGGUCCAGAAGUGCCCUGCAGUGUAAUGUCCCCUAUUUCCCAAGGCCUGGCACUUCUGGAGGUGUUUCCAGUAUGUGCUGUGUGUACUCUGCUAUUGUGUCCUGACUGCUUUAUCCUUCAGGCCUGUGAUCUGCAGAGGUUCCCUUUGCCUGUUUUGUGCAGUAUUUGGCCCCUGGACUGAAUGUGGUAAGUUUUAACUAGGUAUGCUCUGGUCUGCUUGUGAGAUGAGACUUGGGACACUACCCCAGGAACUGAGCAUUUUCACAAUUUUCUUAUUCUUAAUAUUCCAAAAAAUGCCACAGUUAACAUUUAUAUGCAUAGUUUUCUUAUUUGUUUAUAGAUUUUGCAAACCAUUUUAUAAUCAUGAUGAACACUGAAAAUAUUAUGCUAAGUGUAGUCCAGUCACAGAGACCUCAUACCAUUCUGUUAUGAAAUGUCUAGAAUAGUUUACAUCUAUAAAGAUAGGAAGUAGAUUACUGAUUGGGGCUGGGAAAGUGAGUGAGGAUUUGGGGGGAUUUAUAGUCAAAAGAUGUAGAAUUUUUCGGGGGGUGAUUAAAAUGCUCUAAAAUUAAUUGUUCAUGGCUGCACAAUUCUGUAAAUAUAGUACAAGCUACUGAAUUGUACACUUUAAACGGGUAAAUUACAUGCACUUCAAUAAAGGUGUUAAAACCAGAUUUUGAUUUAUUAAUCAUGUCUGCUGCUUUUCUAUUCUCCACCUCACUGAUUUCUAUUGUAAUCCUCAUCAUUUCCUUCUUUUGAUUUCACUUGGUUUGUAGGGGUUUUCCCUCUUUUAUUUGUGAAUUUAACUCAAUUCUUUAUUUUUGAUUUGUAAGUGUUUAAUGCUUUGAAUUUUCUUUUGAUCACUGCUUUACAUGCAUCCCAUAGGUUUCAAUGUGUAGUGAUUUUAUUAUUUUUAGUCUAUAAAUUUAUUUUGUAUUUUCUUUUAUCAAAUGUGUUUAAUAGUCUUAAAAUAUAAAUCUAGAUUCUAAGGUGACAGUUUCUUCCCUUUCAUUACAUUGAAGAUGUUUCAUUUUCUUCUUUUUCUGAAGUAAAAUCAGCCAUCCUUCUUAUACUUCUGUCCUUGUUCUCCCUUCUCUCUACUCUUAACAUAUUCUCCUCUCUUGAUUUUUAGUACUUCUAUCAUGAUUUACUUAAGUGUGUUUUAUGAAAGUCCUAGGGGAUUGCUGAGCUUCCUGGCUCUGCCAGUGUUGUUGCUCUUGUUUUAAAUCAGAUUAAGAAAGUUUGUGCUAAUGUUCCAUUUUUUGGGGGCUGAUUUGGGAAUAUAUUAUUAUAUUUUCACCUAUUUGCGGACAUUUCUUUUUAGUGUACCUUUAUUGUCUAUACGGAUGUUAUUCUGUUCCUUAUUCCUUUUUUCUCACAGUAACCACUGGUUUGAAACCUCUCAGGAGCUUCCCGGGGAAAAUCUGAAACCGGCUCCUAUAUAGGGGGCGGGAAAGAGACCAAAGAAAGGUCUCUGGUAGGCCAUUCCAGGUUAGUAGGUGGCAGCAAAAUGAACUUCUACACAAGAUUUGUUUUUGGUGGCAGCAAGACAAGUCUCCAUGCUGGCCUGCCAACUUUUGAGAGUGAAUAUAGAAGUCUUUUUUUUUUUUUUUAAGAUUUUAUUCAUUUAUUCAUGAGAGAGAGAGGGGGGGGGGGGCAGAGACACAGGUAGAGGGUAAAGCAGGCUUCAUGCAAGGAGCUCGACGCGGGACUCAAUCAGGCGAUCAGGCCCUGGGCUGAAGGCGGCGCUAAUCCACUGAGCCACCCAGGCUGCCCAAAUAUAGGUCUUAACUAGGUUCAAUCACAUAUACCAUGCAGUUGUUCUCAACACAUCACUAUCUCAAGGUUGUGUCCUGAGAGCAGCCUCUGGGAGUGGGAAAGGCAAACAGAACCCACAUUCCAAGGACAGAAAGGGGAUGAGGAGCCUCCUAGUGCCUGAGUCCAGCUCACAGGUCAACUGGCAGUCCUGUCUUCUUGAUGACCUUCUCCAACAAGAACUAUAAGACAUUUACUUUUGUGAUCUAUUUGAUUGCUCAUGCAUAAGUGAGAUGAGCAUUUCUAACCCAUGAAAGAAGUAACCUAAGGAUAACCUUCCUAAUGUAUCAGUACUAGAGCUCCCUCUUUCUUACGUUGUUUCAUAAAGUACUCCUCCCCUCAUCAUUGGAUCUUGUUUUGCCUUCUCCAUUCCUGACUGCUCAAUUUGCUCUGCUUAGUCUUACUUCCAGCAGUUUCUUAAUGUAAGCUUUGUCUUAUCAGAGAACUUUCAUCACUUAGAAUUGAGAGUUCAUAGGGCUCAGACUAUUCUAGUCCUCCUUCUGUUACUUGGGACUGGGAGUCUGCAAACUUCAUCCAGUUUUGGCUGUUGUUCUCAGAUAUGUCUUGUGAGCAUUUCUGAGAACACCUAUAGUAAUUUGGGGGCUCUCUAGCUUCCAGGGCUAUCAGAAGACCAUCUCCUUUCUCUGCUCCCUUCUGUGUAGCUGCUGAUAAAUACUAUGUGAGUGUGUUACUGUUGGAGGUUGAAUCCUACACCUCAAAUUUUAGUUUGUGGGAAUACUUUAUCACCUAAUUUGUUAUUGAUAUUAUCUGUAGGUUUUUGGCUUCUCUACCUUAUUCAUCUGUUUCUUAUGGAGGGCUUUUGGGAGAUGAAAAACAUAUGGUACCACUUACCUUCCCAGAAGAUAUAAAGAGGAAAAACAUAUUAUGGAAGUUUUUUUAAGUUGUCUUCAUAGUUGAAAUGUGGGUUAAAAAAAAAAAAAA
rnacentral:lncRNA from 1 species